GAGCAAUGAUGAAAAGGUUUUACAACUGACCUUUAUAACUAUGAGGUUUUCUACACUUGACCUGAGCUCA
rnacentral:snoRNA from 14 species